GCAUGUAUAAUAUUUUGGUUUGAGGCUUUCAGUUUCUGCUUUAAGAGAUGGCUCGAACUAGUCUUUCUUCUAUAUCAAUACCUUUUCUUAUUUUGCUGAUAUUUGCCUUUACUUUCUUUGCACAGCUUGCUCCAGUUAGUGCAGAUCCGAGAAUGAGAAAAUUGGGUCCCGGGCCAAGUCCACCUCCUCCACCAGGGCGUAACCAUGGACUUUCACCUUUUUUUCCAAAUGCUCCUCCUCCUCCACUCAUUUAAACUAAUUUCUAACGGUCAGGCGAUUGAUGUUCUUCAGAGUCAAAUAAAAAAGUUGUUGCAUUAUUCCGUGAUGGACUAUUUGCAAAUAAAAAAGUUGUUGCGCGAUGAGUUGAUAUUGCGAGUGUUAGUGUAUGCUGGGCCAUGAAGAAGGGUGGGACAUUUUUGUCCAUUGAGCUUUCUAUGGGAUGUGCAGGAAGCAAAAUAAAGAGGUGCAGGAAGCAAUUACCAAUAAUUGAUUGAGAUUUUGUAUACAGAAGCCACAUUUGUAAUAACCCAAAUUAUUCACUCCUCUAUGACUCACUAGAGCUUUGAGAGCGUUUUUUUUUUUUA